rnacentral:rRNA from 1 species
UACGAAGGGGGCUAGCGUUGCUCGGAAUUACUGGGCGUAAAGCGCACGUAGGCGGUCUUUUAAGUCGGGGGUGAAAUCCUGGAGCUCAACUCCAGAACUGCCUUCGAUACUGGACGGCUCGAGACCGGAAGAGGUCAGUGGAACUGCGAGUGUAGAGGUGAAAUUCGUAGAUAUUCGCAAGAACACCAGUGGCGAAGGCGGCUCGACUGGUCCCGGUUCGUGACGCUGAGGCGCGAAAGCGUGGGGAGCAAACAGG